CUUUAGAUUUAUGCAAGGAAAAUGCAACUUCUUUAGGUUUAGGCAACAAAAGUACAACUUUGUUAAGUUUAGGCAAAAAAGUUUUGGUUUCACACAGGAUGUGAACUCCGGUCUCCUGGGUGAAAUUCUAUUCUAUACCUAGCUUUCUCGGUGAUCUACCAUGUGAAUAGAUUUGGGGGCAGUACCAUCCCCGCUGAGAAACACUACAAUAUUAGGUUAUGUGCUAGUUGUGCUUUGUUUAUUCAGGUGGUCAUUUCUGAUAUAGUCUCUCAGGAAUCAUGAAUCUGGUGAUAAGCAGAUCAAAUAAAUAAUAAAAUUGGGUGAAAUUGGUUGAAAA